AACUUUAGGAAUUUAGAUUCACGUAAUUGGUAAUUGACUUGAGUGAAACUUAUAACGAAUUAAAUAUUGUAACGAUUGGGAACGUAAUACAGAAUAUAGCUUAGGUAUUUAGAUUAACGUAACUGACAAUUGACAUGAGCGAACCUUAUUUUUAAUUUGAGCUUGUAUGGUACGCUAAGUACGUGAUUUUAUUUACAUUGACUUUAAUCGUAAAUAUCAUGAGGAUAUCGUAGAAUUACUAGUAAAAUAAGAUUACAAUCUAACAUUUUAAAUAGCGUGAGAAAAGCAGAGUUUAUAGUUUGACAAUUGGAAAUGAAUAAUUGUUAUCGUGGCAUAAUCGUCCUCUUUGAUAACUUCAAAACUAAACGUAUUUAUAAGAGUAAUGGAAUAUUAAAAAAUUCGUGAAAAUUGCUUGUUAGGUGAUCGCGGUGAAAAAUUUUAAUCAAUAUAUUAAUUGAAAUUGUUUACAAGAUUUAAAAAUCAUUUGAGGUAGAUUGAUCGGGAAUUUAAAAAAUAAUAUAAAAUAAACGUAUUUUUAGAGUGAUGGUAUAAUACAUUAAUCGUGAAUAUUGCUUGCUAGAUGAUCGCGGUGAAAAAUUAAUCGAAAUAUUAAUUGAAAUUGGCUUACUAGAUUUAAUAAUCAUUAAGGGAGUUUGGGGAAUUUAAAAAAAAUAAAAAAGAAAUCUAUUAAGUAGGUUGAUAAAUAGGUAGCUACGUGGAGUUUGAAGUUUACUAGCGCUCCUGGCUAAUUUUGGGUUAACCGUAUAUUUGAUUGGGUUGUGAAAAGGAAUGGGGAUCUUGAAGAUAAAUGAUAAGAAUAUUGAGAAAAAUUUCUAACAGUGGAAAAUUAUAUUUCCUUAAUUUUAUUUAGAACGUUCAAAUCCGAUGAGUUUUAUUUAGUCUGUAGGGGGGUCAUGUGACCAGAGAAGCGGACAUAAGCAUUGCUUAAUAGGAAUUCAAACUACCGUUUUCGGAGGUUUCAUCUGGAAACUAUGCGUAUUCGUAAUGUUGAUCGUCUAAAUUGAGAUUGGAUUUGAAAGUUACUCAUGAAGUCCGCGUUUAAGAUCGGUAAGUGGUAAUAAUUUAGAAUUCGAUGAGUUUAAAUUAGAAGAACUGAUGCUUUGUGAAAUUUGUUUUAGGUAGAAGAUCGCGAUCGUUCGAACGGAUUUCGAGUUAUCUUUGAGACAAUUUAAUGGAAUUUGAACGAAUUUGGUAGCGUUUUCGAAUGUGAACGUUUAAGGACUAUUGGCUAAAUGGGAAUCGAAUUCGUGAUAGCAUCGGAGCGAGUACAUUUACAGGUAAAUUAAUCAAGUUGUUAGUUCGUAAACUUAUCGUAAAUGAUCUAAUAAACAAUAGAAUUAAUUAAUCUCAACGAAGAUCGAGGGAUUUAAUCGCAAACGAAUGGUGUAAUCGAAUAGUUCAUCAUAAUCUUGGAAAUUAAACCAAUGGGCAUAAUCGAAUGUUUCAGGUAACGAAUAAGAAUAGAUGAUGAUCGUGAAAUUUGGAUCUUCGGAGGAACGAAUAAUUGGCUGAUUUUAGCGUUGUGUUCCUGAAUUGGAUGGCAGUUCGAAUUCGGCGACUGCUUUGUGUAUAUAUUUAUCUGUUUUAUUGACCAGCGAGUGUGAAAUAUACGAUUAUGUAAAUUA